UCUCGACUAGUAUAUCGGUUAGUACACGCGCCUGUCAAAAAAUUGGUGCGCGCGAAAGCUGGGUUCGACUCCCAGGUCGAGAG